AUGGGGGAGGUGGUGGCGCUUGGUGGCUACUGGCGGCCGAGGUAGAGGCAGUGGAGCUGGAGUUGGUUGGGGGCAGCGUCAGAUUUGGAGCUUCAGCAACUUCUUCUAGGGAGGAGGUCCAGUGUGGCUCCUGUUCCAACCUACGAUCUUGAUUCACAUCCAUAGAUUGGAGUAUUGGUGUACAAGCCAUCCUCAGACACCUCACUAAGGACAGGUUUUCUGUGGAUGCAAGUAUUCAACUCCUUUGGAUAAAUACCAAGGAAGAAGAUUGCUUUAUCAUAUGGUAAGAGU